rnacentral:rRNA from 1 species
GACGAACGCUGGCGGCGUGCUUAACACAUGCAAGUCGAACGGUGAAGCCCUUCGGGGUGGAUCAGUGGCGAACGGGUGAGUAACACGUGAGCAAUCUGCCCCUGACUCUGGGAUAACUUCGGGAAACCGGAGCUAAUACCGGAUAUGACACAUGACCGCAUGGUCUGUGUGUGGAAAGAUUUAUCGGUUGGGGAUGAGCUCGCGGCCUAUCAGCUUGUUGGUGGGGUAAUGGCCUACCAAGGCGACGACGGGUAGCCGGCCUGAGAGGGCGACCGGCCACACUGGGACUGAGACACGGCCCAGACUCCUACGGGAGGCAGCAGUGGGGAAUAUUGCGCAAUGGGCGAAAGCCUGACGCAGCGACGCCGCGUGAGGGAUGAAGGCCUUCGGGUCGUAAACCUCUUUCAGCAGGGAAGAAGCGAAAGUGACGGUACCUGCAGAAGAAGCACCGGCUAACUACGUGCCAGCAGCCGCCGUA